rnacentral:misc_RNA from 1 species
GCAAACUUGGUCAUUUAGAGGAAGUAAAAGUCGUAACAAGGUUUCCGUAGGUGAACCUGCGGAAGGAUCAUUAUAGAACAAGUGUUAUAUACACUUUUAUUAUUAUUAUCCCUUUCCCCUAUGUGCACUUUACAUGUGUGUAGAGGCUAGUAGCUAACUGGCUAACUAGCUAAUGCACACACACACACAUAUAUCCAAUACUAUGGUGGCAUUGAAAGGAACUUGUUACAAUUGGUUGUAAUACGAGAUAAAUAUAUAACUUUCAGCAACGGAUCUCUUGGCUCUUGCAUCGAUGAAGAACGCAGC